UCUUCCCCUUCCCAAGGCAAAAUGUGCGUGAUCUCUCUUCCCCAAGAAGCAUGUUAAGUCUAUUUUUUUCCUCAAAAAUCACAACAAUGGCCGAUACUCUCUCCCUCACCUCUCAUCUGCCACUACCCAAACCAAAAAAAGCAAUGGUCUUAGCUUCCACCAUAGUUGUGCCACCCCCAACCACCACUGCACAAGAAUCAUCUAUUUCUUCUCUUUUCCAACCCACAAAUCUCUAAAAUCAGAGAGAAACAAUCCCAAAUUAGUGCAAUAACAGGAGUAUAUUUUGAAAUCCACCAUUAAGACAUGAGAAACAUUUGAAAUUUCGAGUAUGUAAGGUCCCUUUUAAUUUUUGAAUUUUGAUUUCCUCCCCUUCGAUUAGCCCGUUGGCCCCUACAAAUUUUUAGUUUCAAAUCCGAACUUUCAAGUCUGGAUUUACCGAUAAAUAAUUACAGUUUUCACUCUUGAGGGGGGGUUUUGAUUGGAGGGUGAAGGGAUUGGGUUUUUUCGGAUGUUCAAAAAUAGAAGAGGGAGAUCGAGGGAAAGGAAGCACUAGCAAGUUUUGGGAACAAAAAAAAAGGGGUUCGAUUGGAAAAAUAUAGUGAGAAAGAUCGAAAAAAAAGAACCAGUGAGCGAAAGGUUGGAAAUUUUGAGCUUGCUAUUUUUUUUCUGAUUUGGUCCGAAUUCGGGUGCCCGUGGUUGAGCUUGUAGUCACCGAAAAACCCUUAAACAUGAAAGCCUGAGUUUGCUGCCCAUUAAAAGAUGCGAACCGAUCCCUACUGUAACUUUUAUUUAUUUCCCUCUCCUUCUAUUUUGGUUCUGUGGAUAUAUUGGGUUCUAUCGUUAUUCAUGAUGUAAUUUAUUGUUUCUUUGAGUUUGCGGUAUAUACAAAUUUUAAUUCUGAAAGUUCUUUCAUAUGGCUGUUCGUAAAUAAAAGUGUCUACAAUCCACUUGUCUGGUUUUGUGAACAUGUUGUUUGCGGAUUAAUUUUGGUUAUGUUUGUGUUGUUGUUAUCGAUUUUAGAAAAAUGGAUUUGGUUGCAAAUUUUGAUUAAGUUCAACCAGUAGAUUGGUCUUGAAUAUUUGGUUUUGAAUAUGGUUCUUUUCUAUCCAGCUUAUGUCAUUUUUUGUUUUGGGUAUCAAUUUGAAUGAGAUUUUUCCUCCAUUGAGAUGUACAUUAUUUUUGUUCCAAAAUCUGGUCGUAUAUGAAUGUGCAAUUUCAUUGCUUUGUGUUCGGCCACAAUUUUAUUGUCAGUGAAGUGAAUCGAUGAUGUCAAUUUUAAUUUUCUUGUAGAAGUUGUGAAGUUGAAAGUCAGUCCUGUGGUUUCAUCAUUGCCUUUCUUUAAAAUUUAUGUUGGUAUUGUUAUUUGUUCUUCAAAAUAAGUUUUUUUUUGGGGUAAUGUGGUUUAUCCCAACUUCGUGGUACAUCUAAAUGGGUGAUUUUUAAACUCUUGGGUGAUUAUCCUGUUGAGACACGCAUCUAGUGUCCUUAAGCGUCUUUGCCGAGUUGAUAUGUAAAUAAGAUUUCGCGCCGUUUUAGGUGUGUCACCGUACAUAGCUGAUUUUUUUAAGGGAUUGUAUGAUGAUGCGUAGAUUUUAACACUCUCAAAAUUUAUUGUCAUGCACAAGUCAGAAUAGUGUAAAAGAAAAUUAGCCUCCUUUUAAUUCUAAAUUGUUCUUUCGUUUGUCGUUUUGAUCCUUUAAAACAAGAUCGGCAUUAACCUUAAACUCGGUCACAAUAUGUUUUGCCUAGUAUUUAUGGACUGAUUUUGUGAAUUUGAAUUCCCUUCCAAGUUUUAAUUUUUAGGACAUAAUUGGUUAUACAGAUGGCUAUGAAAAUAUUACACAAUGCCCACUUUUGGUUAGAGUUGAAAUUUGAAACAACCUAGUAUUUUGUUUAGCUAUUAGAAUGGCUGUUAAUCCUUAUUUUUUUUCUUGAAUAUGUGUUAUUAUAUCCACUUCAAAUUCCUCCCGUGAUAGCUUUUGAAUAUCGACUGUGUUUAUAUGUUAUGAAAGUAUUGUGGUUGUAUUCUGUGAUUGUUGAUUAGUCGCUAAUCCACAUCUUUCCUUUAUUUUACAUGUGAAUGAAGGUGUUGAGAAGUUCCAACACGGAACUCGUUCUGACCCAAGCAUCAGGUCAAACGCUACUAGGAUCUCAGAGCUUCGGAGUCACGCAAAUUAAAAGCCAAAACUCCUUUAGGACUCCAGUAUCUCUUUAGCCUUUCUUCUUUCUUAUUAUCCAUGUCAUGAUAAGUAGUUUUUGAUACUUGAAUUGAUAUUUGAGUAUUUUUAUAUUUGUUAAAAUGAUUUAAAGUGUCA
rnacentral:lncRNA from 1 species